rnacentral:rRNA from 1 species
CCCUUAGACGUUCUGGGCCGCACGCGCGCUACACUGACCAGUGCAACAAGCAUCCGUCCUUGGCCGACAGGCCCGGGCAAUCUUUGAACGCUGUUCGUGAUUGGGAUAGACCUUUGCAAUUAUGGGUCUUCAACGAGGAAUUCCUAGUAAACGCAAGUCAUCAGCUUGCAUUGAUUACGUCCCUGCCCUUUGUACACACCGCCCGUCGCACCUACCGAUUGAAUGGUCCGGUGAAAUCUCGGGACGGCGGCUCGGUCGCUUGCGUCCGACUGCUGAAACUUGAUUAAACCAUAUCAUUUAGAGGAAGGUGAAGUCGUAACA